rnacentral:tRNA from 1 species
CGGGGUGUGGCGCAGCUUGGUGGCGCGCCUGGUUUGGGACCAGGAGGUCGCAGGUUCGAAUCCUGUCACCCCGA